GCCGGCUUGACGCCGGGAGUCUCGUUAGAGUGCCCACCCGAGGUGAUGGCAACUAACGACAGGGGUUGCGCUCGUUGCCGGACUUAACCGAACAUCUCACGACACGAGCUGACGACAGCCAUGCAGCACCUGUCUCUAGGCUCCCCCGUGAGGGGGCACCCCGUAGUUUCCUACAGGUUCCUAGGAUGUCAAGCCCAGGUAAGGUUCUUCGCGUUGCGUCGAAUUGAACCACAUGCUCCGCUGCUUGUGCGGGUCCCCGUCAAUUCCUUUGAGUUUUAGCCUUGCGGCCGUACUCCCCAGGCGGGGCACUUAAUGCGUUAGCUUCGGCACAGGAGGAGUCGACACCUCCCACACCUAGUGCCCAUCGUUUACGGCGUGGACUAC
rnacentral:misc_RNA from 1 species